UACGUAGGAUGCAAGCGUUGUCCGGAAUUAUUGGGCGGAAAGAGCGCGCAGGCGGUAUGACAAGUCAGAUGUGAAAGAGGCCGGCUUAACCGGCAAGGGUCAUUUGAAACUGUCAGACUAGAGUGCAGCAGAGGAUAGUGGAAUUCCCGGUGUAGUGGUGAAAUGCGUAGAUAUCGGGAGGAACACCAGUGGCGAAGGCGACUAUCUGGGCUGCAACUGACGCUGAGGCGCGAAGGCUAGGGUAGCAAACAGG
rnacentral:rRNA from 1 species